UUGUACAGUGCCUGGCAUGGGUUGUCCUGGUCUCUGACUGGGGCUCUUCAGCUCUGCGACAGCAAUCAUCGUUAUCACGAUCGAAGCAGAGGAGAGAGCGAAAGGAGGAAGCCAAGCUAAUAUCUUGCAAAUGACCUUGCUUCAAGUGCAAGAACUGAGGCAUGCGCUCAUUGAUCCAGAUUGAGAACAGCCACAUGCUCUUUGCAUCUGACAGAAGCAGGUGAGAAUACUCUAGGCGAAACUGGACCUGUGAAUGAUCAAAGUCUCAUCAUCCAAGGUCAAGGAAACCAAGGAGUAAGUGCUUGCUCCUGCCCUCUCAACCCCAGUUUCAUUUACUCCAGGGAAGAUAGUGACACAGACCCUGUUCCUGCCAAUAGCUCUGCAGUAAAUCAAAGCCAUUCAAGGCCUUGACACACCGCAGGUUACUAAACUCGUCAACUGAAGAGUUUUACCCGCAAAGAUGGUGAUAGAUCUGACUUUCAAAUUCCUUGAUUUGUAUUAACUCAUCGAGAGAAAAUCUUACACUGUUUCCUGUGAUUUCACAGGGAGGUCCAUCUCCUGGAUGUUUCUCAUGGGGAAUGUGCAAAGUUUUGACUGGAUCGAUCAGAAGAGAGUGCCUUUUUAUCCCAGGGGGAAGAGCCUGUGUUCAAAGCAGAAAGAGCUGACGUACUGCUGGUCGCACGAGGAGGCUCAGAACGGUUGCACAGCGGCCAGAGUUGAGCGAGCUUUCCACGGACUAUGAAGGGAGACUGUAGUAGAGCCAGGAAAGGACUGAUAUGUUGAAUCCCAGUCCAUGGUGGAAGGGCCGGCAGGAGAAUGGAGCAGACCUUUUCCGUGACGGACCGUUCUUUGUUGCUUAG
rnacentral:lncRNA from 1 species